rnacentral:rRNA from 1 species
AGUGAACGCUGGCGGUAGGCCUAACACAUGCAAGUCGAACGGCAGCACAGUAAGAGCUUGCUCUUACGGGUGGCGAGUGGCGGACGGGUGAGGAAUACAUCGGAAUCUACUUUUUCGUGGGGGAUAACGUAGGGAAACUUACGCUAAUACCGCAUACGACCUACGGGUGAAAGCAGGGGAUCUUCGGACCUUGCGCGAUUGAAUGAGCCGAUGUCGGAUUAGCUAGUUGGCGGGGUAAAGGCCCACCAAGGCGACGAUCCGUAGCUGGUCUGAGAGGAUGAUCAGCCACACUGGAACUGAGACACGGUCCAGACUCCUACGGGAGGCAGCAGUGGGGAAUAUUGGACAAUGGGCGCAAGCCUGAUCCAGCCAUACCGCGUGGGUGAAGAAGGCCUUCGGGUUGUAAAGCCCUUUUGUUGGGAAAGAAAAGCAGCAGGUUAAUACCCCGCUGUUCUGACGGUACCCAAAGAAAAGCACCGGCUAACUUCGUG